AACGAACGCUGGCGGCAGGCCUAACACAUGCAAGUCGAGCGAGGACUUCGGUCCUAGCGGCGGACGGGUGAGUAACGCGUGGGAACGUGCCCUUUGCUUCGGAAUAGCCCUGGGAAACUGGGAGUAAUACCGGAUGAGCCCUUUGGGGGAAAGAUUUAUCGGCGAAGGAUCGGCCCGCGUUGGAUUAGGUAGUUGGUGGGGUAAUGGCCUACCAAGCCGACGAUCCAUAGCUGGUUUGAGAGGAUGAUCAGCCACACUGGGACUGAGACACGGCCCAGACUCCUACGGGAGGCAGCAGUGGGGAAUCUUAGACAAUGGGGGAAACCCUGAUCGAGCCAUGCUGCGUGAGCGAUGAAGGCCUUAGGGUUGUAAAGCUCUUUCAGCUGGGAAGAUAAUGACGGUACCAGCAGAAGAAGCCCCGGCUAACUCCGUG
rnacentral:rRNA from 1 species